rnacentral:rRNA from 1 species
UGGGGAAUAUUGGACAAUGGGCGCACACCUGAUCCAGCCAUGCCGCGUGUGUGAAGAAGGCCUUUUGGUUGUAUAGCACUUUAAGCGAGGAGGAGGCUACUUGGAUUAAUACUCUAGGAUAGUGGACGUUACUCGCAGAAUAAGCACCGGCUAACCCUGUGCCAGCAGCCGCGGUAAUACAGAGGGUGCGAGCGUUAAUCGGAUUUACUGGGCGUAAAGCGUGCGUAGGCGGCUUCUUAAGUCGGAUGUGAAAUCCCUGAGCUUAACUUAGGAAUUGCAUUCGAUACUGGGAAGCUAGAGUAUGGGAGAGGAGGGUAGAAUUCAAGGUGGAGCGGUGAAAUGCGUAGAGAUCUGGGGGAAUACCGAUGGCGAAGGCAGCAAUCUGGCCUAAUACUGACGCUGAGGUACGAGAGCAUGGGGAGCAAACAGG